UACGAAGGGGGCUAGCGUUGUUCGGAAUUACUGGGCGUAAAGGGCGCGCAGGCGGCUCUGAAAGUCAGAUGUGAAAGCCCCGGGCUUAACCUGGGAAUUGCAUUUGAUACUCUGGAGCUUGAGUGUGGGAGAGGAGAGUGGAAUUCCCAGUGUAGAGGUGAAAUUCGUAGAUAUUGGGAAGAACACCGGUGGCGAAGGCGGCUCUCUGGACCACAACUGACGCUGAGGCGCGAAAGCGUGGGGAGCAAACAGG
rnacentral:rRNA from 1 species